AGCCCAGCACCGAAGCCUGUGGUCGUUUGAUCACCAGGCAAUGUGGUGUUCAGGUCUAGUUGCGAAAGUACUGCUUCUCUCCAAGUCCGACAAUGAGUACGGUAUUUUAAACACGGCCCAAAGAGGGUGAAAGGCCCGUCGGGGAGAAGAUCAGGCAGGUCAGUGCUUUCCUAAAAAGACCUUGGAGUCGGGUUGUUUGAGAAUGCAGCCCAAAGUGGGUGGUAAACUCCAUCCAAGGCUAAAUACUAACACGAGUCCGAUAGCGAACAAGUACCGUGAGGGAAAGUUGAAAAGUACUUUGAAGAGAGAGUAAACAGUGCGUGAAGCCGCUCAGAGGUAAACGGGUGGAGUUGAACUGCGUGCUACGAGAAUUCAGCUGGUGAUUGUGUUAUGACCUUGGUCAUCUUGGUUGAACAGUGCGGUCUGCGUAAAAGCAGGUUCUUGCCUUCGGGCGGGGAUGCGCGAUUCACUUAUCAAGUGAUGUGCGCCUCAUUGCUCUUCGAACCAAUUGCCAGUGCACUUUCUCAGAGCGUUCACCACGAUCGGCACCGUUGUCCGACUAUUGUGGUUAAACCGGCGUGACAUUGUCCUUGUGACUUUUUCACGUCGGCACGGCAGGUAGCUCGUUGGCUUUCUUGUGGUUCGCUACAGGGAUUUAGACAACGGGUGUAAUCAGCUGGCCACAAUAUUUCCGUACAAUGUGCCGGAGACCGCGGCUUGUGAUGUGUGCCUGCGCAUUUAUUGCUGGCCAAUUCGGGUUUGGUUGUCAUGUUGCCUGUUAAAUCAGGCCUGACGAUGGCUCGGAUUCGUUCAACAAUUCACUGCGUAAGCGACAUCAAUACAGGGCCAACAGUCUGUGGUGUUGUGGUAGACCAUCCACCUGACCCGUCUUGAAACACGGACCAAGGAGAGUAACAUGUGCGCGAGUCAUUGGGCGUAACGAAACCCAAAGGCGCAGUGAAAGUGAAGGUUUGGCUUGUCCAAGCUGRGGUGAGAUCUCGUCGUUCCUCACACGGUAUCACCAAGUAAAGAGCGUCGAGCGCAUCACCGGCCCGUCCCAUGACGUAGACGGGAUCAUCUGAUCCACGCAUCGUCGGGGCGGAGCAUGAGCGUACAUGUUGAGACCCGAAAGAUGGUGAACUAUGCUUGCGCAGGUUGAAGCCAGAGGAAACUCUGGUGGAGGACCGCAGCGAUUCUGACGUGCAAAUCGAUCGUCAAACGUGAGUAUA
rnacentral:rRNA from 1 species